AGAGUUUGAUCCUGGCUCAGAUUGAACGCUGGCGGCAUGCUUUACACAUGCAAGUCGAACGGCAGCAUGGAGAGCUUGCUCUCUGAUGGCGAGUGGCGAACGGGUGAGUAAUACAUCGGAACGUGUCCUUUUGUGGGGGAUAACUACUCGAAAGAGUAGCUAAUACCGCAUAAGACCUAAGGGUGAAAGCGGGGGACCUUCGGGCCUCGCGCAGUUGGAGCGGCCGAUGACUGAUUAGCUAGUUGGUGGGGUAAAGGCCUACCAAGGCGACGAUCAGUAGCUGGUCUGAGAGGACGACCAGCCACAUUGGGACUGAGACACGGCCCAAACUCCUACGGGAGGCAGCAGUGGGGAAUUUUGGACAAUGGGGGCAACCCUGAUCCAGCCAUGCCGCGUGCGGGAAGAAGGCCUUCGGGUUGUAAACCGCUUUUGUUAGGAACGAAAAGGUAUCUGUGAACAACAGGUAUUGCUGACGGUACCUAAAGAAUAAGCACCGGCUAACUACGUGCCAGCAGCCGCGGUAAUACGUAGGGUGCGAGCGUUAAUCGGAAUUACUGGGCGUAAAGCGUGCGCAGGCGGUUGGGUAAGACAGGUGUGAAAUCCCCGAGCUUAACUUGGGAACUGCACUUGUGACUGCUCAACUAGAGUAUGUCAGAGGGAGGUGGAAUUCCAAGUGUAGCAGUGAAAUGCGUAGAUAUUUGGAAGAACACCGAUGGCGAAGGCAGCCUCCUGGGAUAAUACUGACGCUCAUGCACGAAAGCGUGGGGAGCAAACAGGAUUAGAUACCCUGGUAGUCCACGCCCUAAACGAUGUCAACUAGUUGUUGGGCCGCAUGGCUUAGUAACACAGCUAACGCGAGAAGUUGACCGCCUGGGGAGUACGGUCGCAAGAUUAAAACUCAAAGGAAUUGACGGGGACCCGCACAAGCGGUGGAUGAUGUGGAUUAAUUCGAUGCAACGCGAAAAACCUUACCU
rnacentral:rRNA from 1 species